rnacentral:rRNA from 1 species
CACGUAGGAGGCGAGCGUUGUCCGGAAUCAUUGGGCGUAAAGAGCGCGCAGGCGGCUUGGCAAGUCGGGUGUGAAAUCCCGGGGCUCAACCCCGUGACUGCAUCCGAUACUGUCAGGCUAGAGGUAGGUAGGGGAGAUCGGAAUUCCUGGUGUAGCGGUGAAAUGCGCAGAGUAUCAGGAGGAACACCGGUGGCGAAGGCGGAUCUCUGGGCCUUACCUGACGCUCAGGCGCGAAAGCUAGGGGAGCGAACAGG